CAUCACUCCACUACCACCACCAAUAAAAACCUAAGAUCUAAAUACAAUUCACCAAAUCACCCAACAUCUAAGCCCUAAAUCUACAUCGGUCAAAACAAAAUUUAGGAAAAACGUAGACAACUAUAGAAAUGAACGCCUACUGCCACACAUACGCCAUGGGAAAAAACAAGGCUGCUCCACCGUGAUCCAGCAAAUCAAUGCUCCAGUCCACACCGUAUGAUCCGACAUCCCUGCUUGAACUACGCUGAGUGCCUUGAGAUCUUUAACAGCGUUGCUGCUUUGCACAGCGGAGCGUCAUCGGGACCAACAAGGGGUAGUACAGGAAUAUUCACCUGUUGUCCAUCGACUACGCCUUUCGACCUGAUCUUAGGCCCUGACUCACCCUCCGUGGACGAACCUUAGCGUCGCUGCUUCAUUGUAGCAACGGUAAUUAGAGAGUGGAGAAUUAGGUGAGGCAACAUCACUGCUUCGUCGCAAUAACGGCAAUUGGAGUGUGGAGAAUUAGGAAG
rnacentral:lncRNA from 1 species